GCCAGGUGUGGUGGUGCAUGCCUAUAAUCCCAGCUACUCUGGAGGCUGAGGCAGGAAGGUUGCGUGUUCAAAGCCAGCCUGGGCAACUUAAGUGAGAUCCUGUCUUAA
rnacentral:sRNA from 1 species